rnacentral:sRNA from 1 species
GGACACCUCUAGUGACACUUCCAGGUCAUCCCACCACAGAGGCUGCAUUAACCUCAGCCGCCCUCAGUGCCUUGCUCUCCCAGACAACAUCAGGCCUCAGUCUAGGUGCCCUGUCUCCAGAAUGCCCCUCUAGCCAGGGGCACGGCAUUUAGGGAUGGGAUACCUGUCUAGCACCUGACAAAUUCCAGAGUCACAGUGGCCUCUAGAGCAUGAGAUGGGCUCUGAGCCGCCGGCACACCCCGCCCAACCUGCCCAUCCCGCCCAUCCCAUGUUCCUCUGCAAUCUGCCAGGUCCCAAAUGGGGACACAAUGGCUCACAAAUGGGGAGGAAGACAAUCUCUCCAGGUCUUCCAGACGGGGUGGCCCGCCCUCCCCAAAGCCACCAAAGGUGCCAAGCCUAUGCAGUGGAAUGUCUGGGCCGCUCUGCCCCUGUCCUCUGCAGGGAGCGGCCGGGGCUUGGCCAGCUGCUGGGGCUGCUUGGCUGCCUCCUGAUGCCCAAGCCUCUCCAUCUGCAGGCACCCUUCGACGGCUCCCGCCUGGUCUUCCCCCCUGUGCCAGCCUCCCUGGUGAUCGGCGUCUUCUACUUGUGCAUGCAGCUCAUCCUGCCCGAGGCGGUGGGGGGCACUGUGUUUGCGGGGGGCCUCCUGGGCUACGUCCUCUACGACAUGACCCAUUACUACCUGCACUUCGGCUCGCCGCACAAGGGCUCCUACCUGUACAAACUGAAGGCCCACCACGUCAAGCACCACUUUGCACAUCAGAAGUCAGGAUUUGGUAUCAGCACUAAAUUGUGGGAUUACUGUUUCCACACCCUCACUCCAGAGAAACCCCACCUGAAGACGCAGUGACAACUGCCACCCCCUCCGUCCUGCCCUCAGCCCAGCCCUGGCCCCUUCCCGACCCCCACCCGCCAUCCAGACCCCAUUAAGAAGGUUGGCUUGGCCAGGCAGGAUGGGCUCUGUCUGGCCCUGCGCCUAGUGGAAGGUGCUGAGGGGGCCCUGAGGCAGGACCGCCCUCCUGACCCCUAGUAGGAGGCUCACAUCCACUUGGUGGCCAGGUGGCCCUUGGUGACCCGCUUCUUCCUGGAGCGUCCCUGCCUAGAGCUCAGCCCACAAGACUGCUUCAGGACCUGGCCACAGGUAGCAGCUGCAAGGGGAAAUGAAGAAAACUGACCCCUCGUGGCCACCUGUGUCACUCUUGUGCCUUAGCAUCGUGGGCUGCCUAGGAGCUGCCUGCACGGCACAGCUCCGCGUUCACAGUCAGAAGUGGGUCUGUGGGACCUGUGGUCCCUGUCCUCCCUGCUGUCCCUUCUGGGGAGGCUUUGGUGGCUCUGAGGUGGACAAAGAGCUCUCGCAAGAAGAGACAGCAUGAUGCCUUCCACAGUCCACUCCAGACCCUGGGGCAGCCCCUUUGGCCCUGUCAGCUGUCUGUGUCAUUGGGCCCAGGGUGGCUGGCAGGAGUCCCAGCUGCUUGCUUUAGGACCUGGCAUCUUCUCUCGCCAUCCCUCCCCUGCCUCCAGAAUCACAGCCCUUCUCCCCAAGGGAGGCUGAAGAGGCUUCUCCACCGGUGGCAGCCCCACCCCGUCCCCGGCCAUUCUUGGCCUCUACCCCACUCAGCCCCCUACUCGGGCCCUCCCAGAAGGAGCCACCUCUCAGUGCCUCACCUCCUCCUGCCUCCCAGCCUCCGCAGAUGAGGUUCCUGCCCCUUCCUCCUCGUAACCAAAACCCUCACUGCUCCCAGGACAGUCUUAUUUAUAAACCAGACACAUGUUCUUAGUCUGGUCCCAGACCAAGGAGCUGGUCAGACGGCCCUUUCUAAUCCUACAUGUUGAGCUUAUGUAAAAAAUGUUGUUUCCUCCUGUUUUUGGUUCUUUUCUUACCCACAAACCAUUACUACUUGAAACUUAAAAAACUUGCCUAGUGUAAAGGCUAAAGAGAAGCAGUUUGACGGACCUUGUGAUUUGUACUGUUUGCUGCGGAGCUAUUUAAAGAUUUUGGAAUAAAUAUACAAAACUACGGUUGUGAAAUAAAAACUUAAAUUGUAUAUUUUGAAAAAUAAAACACUGAAAAGAAACCAACAAAAA